rnacentral:lncRNA from 1 species
ACCAACAGCCAAAACCCAUAACGUACAAAGCUUACAUAAGACAAAUCGGUAAAAAAAUUAUUUAAAUUAAACAAAUUAAUUAAGAAAAUACCGAAACGCAUACACUUAAGCAAGCCUAUUUAAAGCUGAACAAACCUCACCUCCUACGAAAGUAAUUAUCAUUCUAGUCUCACCCACUUACCAAGCACGCAAUUGUGGUACGAGUAGUAUAGCUAGAAGCAACCAAGGAGACAUAUAAAGGCUUACGCACACUUACACAAGCUUCCACCCUACUAGCAAAAAUCAAAUAAUAGCAUGCUCAUCCCCUGUCGGGUUUGAGCCUAAAGCAUCACAUGUACUGUUCUCAUCACUCUCCUUGGACGGUUUAUGUUUGUUUUGAUGCCCAAUUAGACGACCUCUCUUCUUUGUUGCCUUCCUAACAAAGACCGAAACCUCCACCAGCUCACCAAGUUGAAAAUCCUGAGGUAUAAAAGCCAAGCUAGACUGCUUCUCUGUCCCACAGCGGCGUCAUUUGCACACCGUAACCUCCUAAACCUCAUCCCCACAACCAACCCCCAUGGCGGAUCCACCCAACAUUCCAACGAGCUACAGCCCAAUAGCCUUGGACCUGCCCAAUCCAUCGAAGCCCAACAAAUUAGAACCCAAUUGCUCAUGAGACAAGGCCCGAUUCCCAGGCCCAUUUUAUGUCAACCCAGACCCAUUUUCUGUCAACCCAACUCAAUUUUUUUUAUACGUAUGUAAUCAGUCAAUUCAAUCUAAUUCGAGUGACAUUAAUUAUAUAUAACUCGAAUUUGAAUGAUUUGACUAAAUAUCAAGUCUACUCUACAACACGAUAGUAAGACUAUCUAACUUAAAACUGUUGAUGUCAUAAUUUGGUUCGACAACGAAAUUUGACUUUUCAAUCCAUUCCGCGUAGGAAUAGUUGAAAUGUCAAAGAGUCACGUAUAACACUAACCUUUCAACGUACUGAAAUCUUUAUUCAAGAAAUAAAAAUGAUCCUCACACGUAAAUAAUGGUGAGAUGUCUAACUUAGCAUUCAAAGUCUUUCUUGGACUAUCACCUAGUGGUUACCUCACAUUCUAGGUAGCAUGAUAAGAUUAGAACAUAUCAUGACCUAACCAUUAGAGAAACAUCAUGUAAAGGAAUUAAGAGCCUCAACUUUCAAGACCAAGAGUUCGACCUCCAAGGCUUAAGAGCCUCAACCCUUAAGCUCUCUCUUAGACGUCCGAGAGUCGCGUAGAGACAUGUCGGCUAAUAUCUAUGGUUUACCCUUCACCCACUUCCCCACGUGUCAAGCUCUGACACAAGGUAUGGCUCUCAACAUGGUCUACGACCGACUUAAUAGGAAGAUACCACAUAUUGUCGGCACGUGUUACCAACUCUGCCAAACCUAUCCUAGAACGUCAGGAAGCAAGGCUGACACCAUGAUUUUAGGGAAUAGCCAUGUUGAGCCCAUACUCUUCCUUUCCACUUCACCAAUCUCUCUUCCUAUAAAUACUAAGCCNNNNNNNNNNNNNNNNNNNNGGAUCGCCCAGCCGCCGACUGCCGCCGUCCGGCCAGCCACCGGCCGCCGCUCCACCCCAGUUCGAACCCCCUUCUCCUCCUCUCCCUCCCCGGCCUAGCCCCCGAGCCUCUAACCCGCCGGAAACGCCGGGAAGCAUUUCGCCGGAACUCCCUCCUCCGGCCACCAAUCCGGGCAAGCUUGGUACGGUUUUGUAGCCCUUCAAUCCAGCAGCCUUGCCCUAAAAGGACUCACUCCCUCUUGAGCUAGGUAAGGAGAAAUUUGAGGUGGAAGUUUUAUGGUGUUUUUGAUGUUUUUAGUCGAUUGCCCUAGUUAGGCUUGGAAUUGGUGUUUGUGCUAGUUAGGAAAGUUGUAGAGCAUGAUGAGAGGAUUAUUCUGUCAAAAUUUCAUAGGUUUUGGAGGUCGCCGGAAUUGGCCUCCGGCCGCCGCUGCCGGCGGAGCCGCCGCCGGUUAGGAGAUUUUUAGGGUUUUAAGUGUGGAAUAUUAAGAGGAGUAUAUUGAUGUGAUUUAUGGAAUUUUUGGAUGAGAUUUGGAUAGGUUUGUGAAUUUCCGAAGUUUGGUAUUUUUGGCGGUUAAUUAAUGCGGAAUCCGGCCGUAGGAUUUAAGUCGUAUUUUGGGGAGGUUGUAUUUACGACUGUUGAGUAUGAUAUUUAAGUUCGGAUUGUUCCGAUUUAAGAAUAUCGAAGUUAGGCAAUGAUGAGCGUAUUUAUGGCUCUCGGGUAAUUUUGCCUAUUUUGAUUAAAUAUUGGAUUUUUGGUUGGGAAAUUAAUAUUAUAUUUGGAACAGGACGUAAGGAGGCUCGAGCAGACGAGACCCCAGAUCGACAUCAGGCUUAGGCCUAAUUUUUGAGUGGACGUUUAUUUUAAAUAAAUGCAUGCUAUGGUUCAUGGUUGAUCAAUUAAUGUUGCGGAAAUAUUUUAACGUCAUUUUAAUUUGACGAUUUUUAUUUCUCUUGGAGAGUUACCGAAAAUGGGAUUUUCGGUGGAUAUAAAUAUGUAUUUUUGAGAGAGUAUGUAUAUAAAUGCUAGCUAGCCAUAUGUGUCUGUCCACCUUAAUGGCGUAGCAUAUAGCCGCAUUAUGGUGUGACGUGAGCGUUGGACGUAAGCGUAGUAGCCCUAUUUGAGUGUUUAUGUCACACCCCAAGACCCAUUCCGCCGUAACACGAUAUUGUCCGCUUUGGGCCCACCGGCCCUCACGGUUUUGUUUCCGGCAGCUCAGGAGCAGCUUCUCAGUAGGUCACCCAUCUUGGGAUUGCUCUAGCAUCAACAUGGUUAACCUCGGAGUACCCAUCCCCUCCAAAGCCGCUGAGCCACCAAAAGGCCUCGUGUUAGAUUGGAGGUGGGCAUGUAUAUAUACAGCACAUAACCCCUCUCCGUUUGGCCAAUGUGGGAUAUUACAAUCCACCCCCCUUGGGAGUCCGACGCCCUCGUCGGCACACUCGCACCACACGGCAGAGUGGCUCUGAUACCAUUUGUCACACCCCAAGACCCAUUCCGCCGUAACACGAUAUUGUCCGCUUUGGGCCCACCGGCCCUCACGGUUUUGUUUCCGGCAGCUCAGGAGCAGCUUCCCAGUAGGUCACCCAUCCUGGGAUUGCUCUUGCAUCAACAUGCUUAACCUCGGAGUACCCAUCCCCUCCGAAGCCGCUGAGNNNNNNNNNNNNNNNNNNNNCUCUCUCUCUCUCUCUCUCUCUCUCUCUCUCUCUCUCUCUCUCUCUCUCUCUCUCUCUCUCUCUCUCUCUCUCUCUCUCUCUCUCUCUCUCUCUCUCUCUCUCUGUUGGUCUAUCACCCCAUGCUAAAAUACAUAGUUCUUACUCUUUUGCUAGGAUCAUCUCUUCACAUUCUUUUACACUAUCAUGUUGCUUGAGUACAUUCCAUUCUUCUCCAAUCUCUACUAUCAUGUUGCUUGAGUACAUUCCCUUCUUCUCCAAUCUCUACUUAAUGUUCAAACACUUCAAUGACUUGAGCGUUAGAGAGUGUUUAGCCUGCCAUAGGUUGGUCCUCCGAUAACCAUCUAUCGCUUCACAUUUGCAGGUCAUUCCCAUGGAUCUUGAAGGCUCAAAGGAGUGGAGGAAGUCCACCAAAGGAGUGGAGGAAGUCCACCAAAGGAGUGGAGGAAGUCCACCAAUGAAGUGGAGGAAGCUGCUCACCUUCAAGGAAAGGAAGCCCACCACGAAGUGGUACAUGAAGACUUAGCUUCAGCCGAAAGAAGUCCACCAAAGGAGUGGAUGAAAUUCAUCAUGAAGUGGAGCAUGAAGGCUUAACAUCAGCCGAAUGAAGUCCACCAAAGGAGUGGAGGAAACUAGCUCACCUUCAAGGAGAAGAAGCCCAUCACGAAAUGGUAUGUGAAAGCCCAACAUCAGUCGGAGGAAGUUCGAGAUGGGACUACCAGUUUUCCCGACAAAGGAGUGGAUGCAGCCCCACCCAACGAGUGGAGUUAGCCCACCAAUUAGUGGAGGAAGUCUCGGAGGAGACUACCGGUUCUCUCGACAAAGGAGAGGAUGAUGCUUACCAUCAAGAGGAGUGUGAAUGCUGAACACCGCCAGAAGGAAGUCCAAGAUCAAGAAUAUAGUCUUAUUUAAGGAAGUCGAAUGCACAAGCUCAUCGAUGCCAUACCUUCAGUCACAUGCGACGGACUACCAAGACGCGACACAUGGCCACCGUGACAUAUCUUUAGUCACUGGAGAUAGACAACCAAAACCAUGAAAAUAGUCAAACUAGAUGAAGGGAGAAGAUAGGCCCAUUACAAGAGAGUAACCCUACCACUUUACACGUAUGAUUUCAACGGAAAUCUAGUUGACCCGUUGGUGCUAAAAAACGACAUCAACAAAAACCUUGAGCAGCUAAUAAAGGUUGACUUGAAAACUAGCUUCAAGGUUCCGCAUCAUGAAUUUUUUUUUACCAACGACGUUAGCCAGAAAGUUGGCUUUUCUAUGAGCAUGNNN